rnacentral:sRNA from 1 species
UAACACGUCAAGUUGGCGCCCGACGGGA